rnacentral:rRNA from 1 species
AUUGAACGCUGGCGGCAGGCUUAACACAUGCAAGUCGAGCGGAGAUGAGGUGCUUGCACCUUAUCUUAGCGGCGGACGGGUGAGUAAUGCUUAGGAAUCUGCCUAUUAGUGGGGGACAACAUUCCGAAAGGAAUGCUAAUACCGCAUACGCCCUACGGGGGAAAGCAGGGGAUCUUCGGACCUUGCGCUAAUAGAUGAGCCUAAGUCGGAUUAGCUAGUUGGCGGGGUAACGGCCCACCAAGGCGACGAUCCGUAGCUGGUCUGAGAGGACGAUCAGCCACACCGGAACUGAGACACGGCCCAGACUCCUACGGGAGGCAGCAGUGGGGAAUAUUGGACAAUGGGCGGAAGCCUGAUCCAGCCAUGCCGCGUGUGUGAAGAAGGCCUUUUGGUUGUAAAGCACUUUAAGCGAGGAGGAGGCUACCUGGAUUAAUACUCUAGGAUAGUGGACGUUACUCGCAGAAUAAGCACCGGCUAACUCUGUGCCAGCAGCCGCCGUAACAC